UGGAAUUUCAAGUACAAGGGAUUAAGGUUAAAUGCCUCGAAGGUCUCAUUGAGAUGUACAAUGCAUUUAGAAUUGAGUUGAUGGGGCAGAAGAAAAAUUACAGGGUAGGAGCUCUUUCAGCAGUUCCAGCGAUAACAGUGAGCAAGUUGUUUCCGAAUGGGUCGCUCAGAUGGGCUGCAAGGUUCUCAACAGGGCCUUCUCCUGUAACGUAAGCUUGGAUGAAGAAGCCAAGCAUGGCAAACAUCGCCAGUCUACCAUUCUUAAUCUCCUUCACCUUAAGCAGUGCAGCCUGGUCUGGGUCAUUUGCAAGCCCCAGAGGAUCAAAAGGAC
rnacentral:lncRNA from 1 species